AUUGAUCGCUGGCGGCAGGCCUAACUCAUGCAAGUCGUGCGAGCGGAGGACGGGUGAGUAAUGUAUGGGGACUGCCCGAUAGAGGGGGAUAACUCCUGGAAACGGUGGCUAAUACCGCUUACUAUCGGAAAACCCAUAUGGGAUUAGCUAGUAGGUGGGGUAAUGUCUCACCUAGUCGACGAUCUCUAGCUGGUCUGAGAGGAUGAUCAGCCACAAUGAGACUGAGAAAAGGCCCAGAGUCCGACGGAGGCAGCAGUGUGGAAUAUUGGACAAUGGGCGCAAGCCUGAUGCCGCCAUGCCGCGUGUAUUAAGAAGGCCUUAGGGUUAUAAAGUAAUUUCAGCGGGGAGGCGUUACCCGCAGAAGAAGUACCGGCUAACUCCGUGUCAGCAGCCGCGGUAAUAC
rnacentral:rRNA from 1 species